rnacentral:rRNA from 1 species
UACGGGGGGGGCAAGCGUUGUUCGGAAUUACUGGGCGUAAAGGGCUCGUAGGCGGCCAACUAAGUCAGACGUGAAAUCCCUCGGCUUAACCGGGGAACUGCGUCUGAUACUGGAUGGCUUGAAUCCGGGAGAGGGAUGCGGAAUUCCAGGUGUAGCGGUGAAAUGCGUAGAUAUCUGGAGGAACACCGGUGGCGAAGGCGGCAUCCUGGACCAACACUGACACUGAUGAGCGAAAGCCAGGGGAGACAAACGGGAGUUAGAAA